rnacentral:rRNA from 1 species
GAUGAACGCUGGCGGCGUGCCUAAUACGUGCAAGUCGAGCGAACGGACGAGAAGCUUGCUUCUCUGAUGUUAGCGGCGGACGGGUGAGUAACACGUGGAUAACCUACCUAUAAGACUGGGAUAACUUCGGGAAACCGUAGCUAAUACCGGAUAAUAUUUUGAACCGCAUGGUUCAAAAGUGAAAGACGGUCUUGCUGUCACUUAUAGAUGGAUCCGCGCUGCAUUAGCUAGUUGGUAAGGUAACGGCUUACCAAGGCAUCGAUGCAUAGCCGACCUGAGAGGGUGAUCGGCCACACUGGAACUGAGACACGGUCCAGACUCCUACGGGAGGCAGCAGUAGGGAAUCUUCCGCAAUGGGCGAAAGCCUGACGGAGCAACGCCGCGUGAGUGAUGAAGGUCUUCGGAUCGUAAAACUCUGUUAUUAGGGAAGAACAUAUGUGUAAGUAACUGUGCACAUCUUGACGGUACCUAAUCAGAAAGCCACGGCUAACUACGUG